rnacentral:rRNA from 1 species
UUAUCAAUAAGCGGAGGAAAAGAAACCAACAGGGAUUGCCUCAGUAACGGCGAGUGAAGCGGCAACAGCUCAAAUUUGAAAUCUGGCACAAGCCCGAGUUGUAAUUUGCAGAGGAUGCUUUGGAGUCGUCCCCGGUCUAAGUUCCUUGGAACAGGAUGCCGCAGAGGGUGAGAGUCCCGUACGCGGCUGGGUGCCUUCUCCGGUAAAGCUCCUUCGACGAGUCGAGUUGUUUGGGAAUGCAGCUCUAAAUGGGAGGUAAAUUUCUUCUAAAGCUAAAUACUGGCCAGAGACCGAUAGCGCACACGUA